rnacentral:tRNA from 1 species
GAGUCCCGGGCAACCCAUAUGGAAA